GCCGUCUUAGCACAGUGGUUAGUGCAUCUCUCUUGUAAAGAGAAGGUCCCGAGUUCGAAUCUCGGAGAUGGCU
rnacentral:tRNA from 1 species